ensembl:lncRNA
UUAAAAGCAGUGGAGUACUCAUCUGUCUCAGCUGGAAAUCACCUUAGAAGUCUGAGGAAAAAAAAAAAUAAGGGUUACCUCUGCACACAUCAGUCUCUGCCAGCCAAGAGUGCCAUGCAUUAUUACUGAAAGAGGCUGUGUAUGAGGAUAUAUGGGACUAAAAGUUGUACAUAAGAUCUGGUUGCAGUGAAGACCUUGGCAAACGUCCUCUAAAGAACUUUGCUGAUGUGGCUGAAGACAUAGCCAUGGCUGUCCUUGUGCCUUGCCCUUCUUCUGUGACUUGCCUCAUCCCCACAAGCAGG